rnacentral:lncRNA from 1 species
UCAUGAUUACAACCCGACGUUUGACGCUCAACCCUAGCCCUUCCCUUGUAGCUCUCUAGUCUCAAUUGCAACCGGUAAUCCCCAACUCUCACCUCAUCCCUGUGUAGCUCAUUGGUUCUACGACCAUCACCAAGCUUUCUCAAGUUAAUUUCUUCCUAAUUUUCUCUUUCUAUUUAGGUUUCAAUUUUCGCUUGUGCUCUUUCUUAGCAAUGGGGUUAAACCAUAGGUAGAAUGGUUGUUUUCUGUUUGGAAAUAGUUUAUGAAUAUCUUCUUUGGUACAAUUCUUUAUGAUUCUCAUGUCAAUGGUUUAUUUUGGGGUUUUGUGGGGAAUUUUGAUUUUGUGGGAGUGGGUUUGAUAGGUUUACAAGUUCAAAGAAUUUUGUAGAAAUGCUCAAAGGUUUUGUCGAUGCAUUUGUGUGAUUCGGUUCUGGCUUUGAGGAACCAUUUAUGUGAUUUUGAGGGUUUUUUUCUGCCUGCUUAGGUUGUUUUUUGUUGCCCUGUACUGUGUCAUUCACUUGUCCAAUGAUCAGAGUGAAGCUCUGUCAUUCACUUGUACUUGGUUGCUGGAAACAAUCUUUUAAUCAAAUGUAUGUGUGUACGUGUGUGAAGUAAUAAUAAAAAAUAAAAUUAUUCCUUCCAAGCAUGAGGAGUUUGAUUCUUAUGUAUAAUUUUGUUAAGAAACUGUUUAAGAGUUUGAUCGGACAAAUUUAUCAAGAUAGAUGAGUUGAAACAGGUGGGAAAUGGAAUUAUGGUGUAAAGUGGAAAUGUCCCCCACAGGUUAGCUGGAAUUAGAUGAUGUUUCAACAACUAGAGAAAAUAUACCUUGUUAAAGCAUGCAUGAUCUAUGGUUGAUGGUAUUGGCCCCGGUUCUUCUUAGUCUGAAUUUUGGCCAGAAAAUCCUAGUGAAGUUGAAUGUAUUAUUGAGAAAUAUAUGAAAGAGGAAUGAAAAUUGGGGAAAUAGGGCAUCGAAUUAAUCGGAUGUUCUUGGUUCUUGAAAUCAAGAAAAAGAAGGUAGCCCUUGAGCUGCUAAAGUUGUAGGAAGAAAUUGCCAACACGAAGGGGCAGACUUUAGAGGGUGGAGUAGAUGAGUUUCCCUAAGCAGAAUUGAUGGAAAUUAUUGGUAAAUUGUGUAAGAAGCUUGAAAAAGUGGAGAAUAUAACUGAUUUCAAAAAGGGAGAAACUAAUUUUAUGAAUGAGCCUACUGUGCACUGGUCUCAUAUGUAGGGUUUGUUUGCAAUUCAGCCACUUGAUAUCCAUGUGCCCAUGCAAGGCAUCUUAGAAUAUGAUUUAGGUUUUUAUAUCAAGGCUUUGAAGAGGUAGAAUAUGGUUUGGGGUUUUUAGAUAAAGGCAUUAGAACUGUGGUAUAUGAUCUGGAUUUUCUUUUUAUCCUCUAAUACUUGCUUUGGUUCCCAAGAGAAUGCUAGAUUGCAUAUUUUGAUGAUAUCAUGUACUAAACCGUGCCUAAUACUAUUUAGCUUAAUUUAGGUGGAAUUUUCUUCCUAAGGAACCAUAAAAAUAUACAUGGGGUUCAAAUGUUUUGGUAGCUUCAUCUGUUUCAUAGUAAUUUCAACAUUUAAAACCAAUCCAUUAUAUAACCGAAAUGAAUAUAAUGAUUGUUUUCUUUUAUUUGCUUAUUUUACUGUUAAAAUCAAGAUAGAUGAGUACUGUCCUAUAGUCCUAUUUGUUAGCUUGUAACAAUCAGCAAUGGUAAGCUAGGUACUUAACGUAGCCCAGUUAGGCCAAUAGUGUGAGAACUAGAAAUUAUCAUAGAUAUUGUCUCCCAACCUAAGAGAGAUAUUUGUGCCUAAGUAAAGAAUCAGAUGCUUAGUAAUUAAAUAAAGAGAAUUUUACAAAAAGACUUAUCUAACUAAGCCAUAGGGGUAUCCAAAACACCCUCAAGUAGUGAACCAGUGAUGCAGAUUCAAUUGGAUAAUGGAAUUAUUCAAGCCUUAGUUCUAAUGUUGAUGUAGAAGGCUUUUUGAAGCCUGAAUUUACAAGGCAGACAUAUAAUUUAAUGAAGGAUUAUGCAUGAUCUCCCUUGAUUAUAGCACUGGAGGCAUCAUUGGAUUUUGCUGAAUCCUGUUUAUGGUUUAUCAAGUCGGAGAUGCAAAUAGAAAUUCUAGUAUUUGACCUUUAGCAUCAUGAUUCCAAUGCAUGGACCAUGCUCUAUUUAAGCAUUUAUUGCCUUUGUCACUUGUAGGUCUCAAGGUGUAAUAGUUUUUCAUAUCCAUUUUUUGGAUAUGAAAAAAUAGCCUAGGAACACUAAAGAGUUAGCCAUUUAGCUGAGGUCCCAAAUAUUAUCUAGAAGAGUAAUAUCUAGUUAAUAUAGUAAAGGGUAGGAUAAAGUCAUCAUGAGGUUGUCAUAUAUUGGCACAUCUGAGGCUCCUUAGAUAGAAAAAUGCAUCAUUGAUGCUUUUCACAAGGUUGUAUCCUUGAAAUACCUUGGACAGAGGAUCAUUGUCUACACACCCCAUGCAUGGGGCACAUCUCAAUUCUUGUCAAAUUUUCUCUACUGAUUUACUUUUUAUGCCACAUGCUACUUAGUGAGAGUCACAUGUUGUGAAUUGACAAAUUAUUUUGCCGUGUAUCAACUUAUUUUAGGUUUACUAAUAAAGUAUGUAGAUUUUCUAAUAUUUCUUGCUCCUUAAUACAAAUAUGUUUUUGACUCAUCAAACUAGAUCAUAACCAAGCUGCUAAAUAAUGUUCACUUGCUUUAACCAUAUGUUAUCCUUUCUAAAACUUUACUGGGGUAGAUUUUCUUUAGAUGUCAAUUACUACACCAUAGAUUUGGUCAUCUUCUGCUUGGCUUUAUUUGUUGAUCACCAUUUAUGUUUGCUGGAACAUUAAAUUUUACCCUCUUCUUUUAACUGAAAAUAUGAGAGACGGCUACCCUAGCUGAUAUACCAUAAUAUGAUUAAUCCCAGCUCAACUAUCUUCUUGUUGUGACAACUAACCUGCCUCCUAUACUAUUUGGUUUCAGGGAGGACAAUUAGCAAUUAUUAACUUGGAGUCCCAUGCAGCCUUGCUUGCAGCAAAACAAAUGCAUUUUCACAUCUUCAACAUAUGCUGCCACUAAAUAAUGUAUUACUAUAUUAUAAAAUGUCUUGAAAAUGGGUGAUUAUUAAUAGGAGCAUCAACAGACAAUCUUAUAUAUGGGGUAGUAUGGAAUGUGCAAUUGCUGCUACAUGUAUUCAUACAAAAAGAUGUUGAUAUAUUUGAGGCAAUGUAUCUUAUAAUUCAUAACAGUAUAUUAAUUACCUCAGAAUUUUAUCUAUUGUUAAAAUUCACAGUUUUCUUGAUAAACUUCUUCUAGUAUUUGAGAUAUUUGAUCCUAUAACCUUUGAAUCAAUUUAGCAGAGGAUCAAUAGUUAGAAAUCGUAUUUUAUUGUUUUAAUUUUAGAAAAAAAUAAAAUGCCUUUUUGUGGUUAGACUUUUCAUAGGUAAAUUACAAUUGAAUUCUCUCUCACCUCAUUCUUCCUUAUCACUAGAUUUGAGUUUUAAUUGCAAUAUUUCUCAAAGUAAUCCUCAAAUCCUAUUGAAAUCUGCAGUUUGACUCAACUCCAUUCCUUAACCUGCUUGCAAAUUUUAUCUAAACUAAAAUAGUCUUGUCUAAACCACCUUACUAUCAUCCUUCAAUGCCUCAAAAACUUUUGCAAUAGCCAUUUCUAUAGAUUGAAAAGCUACAAAAUCUCCUACACGGUAAAUUUAAGUGUAUGGACUAUCAAAUUUGUCUUCUCUAUGGAGCUUGAUUAUUUCCAAUGCCUUCUUUUUUUACUUCCUACUUAUUUUUUGCAGUUAAUUACAAAUUAGGACAUAACCCAUUAAAUGUUUCAGCCUUUGAUUUCAUCCAUCCUUGCAAUCUAACUGUUUGGAAAACUACUAAAAUCAUGCUAGAGAUUUGGAAAGUCUGUAUAAAAUUAAGUAAUUUUGGUUUUGCUUAUAUCACCAGGACCUGGUUUAAGAUAUAUAUAUAUAUAUAUAUAUAUAUAUAUGUUUCUCGUUUAUUGCUGAAAAGAUAGAUUCAAUUCCAAAUUUUCUUUUGUAUGAUUCAUUUAACACACAUUCAUAAGCAACUUAAAAAGCUAGUCCAAGGAAUGAAGAAGCCAGGAGUUUUACAUGCUAACCCAAUUUCUAGAGAAAAAUAAGAAGAGUUUCACAUGUAUAGGUGUGGCAACCAACAGACCAAUAUACAAUUUACAUUAUUACCGUGCCAAAAUUCCUUUUCAUUUAAUGGUGUUAGGGCUAUUUUGUCAUUGAUAUUAAGUAGCUGGAUAUCCAGAAUUCAUUUUUUUUCCUCCAUAACUUGUUCUUAUGUUUGAGAACCUAUUUAAUUAGACAUAGGAUUGCUAUUGCAUACAUGUUUGAUUAGAUAUUUAAAAAAUCUUUUUGGUCAAAAACUCUCAUUAACUCCUCUGAAUGCUUGUGAGGGGUUUUAUGCAAUAAUUUUAGAAUUGAAAAAAAAAAUUAUGCUUCCCACCUUUCCUACCUUCCUCUCUGUGCAUGUCCAUAUUUGGGUGUUUUAGAAAAAAAUCAUCUUAAGGGACUUUGGACAGUUUUUAUAAGUUGUCUUUAGGUGUUGGCAUAAUUUGGGUUUUAAUGCUUCUUGUGCUAGAUGAAUUCAUUCUCUACAUAGAAUGGUUACAUGUGAAUGGAUUGAUAUUUGUUGUCUAUUCUUCCAUCAUCCAAACUAUAUAUUUAUUGUCUCUAAUUUAAUGCUACUAUUUGAAUUUAAUUUUCAAAUCCACACACUAGAUAUAUAUGCAAAAUGCCACUAGACAUUUUUUUUAAAAGAAAAAUUGAAAAUUAAUCAUGAAUGUUGGUUUGUUUUUUGUAUAGUAAUGAGUCAAAAUGUUGAGAUUAGUAGGGUAAAUUGGACUGACCCCAUCCAAAGAAAGCACUUUAUUGAUCUUUGUCUUCAAGAGGCAAACAAAGCCUUUAGAUCAAGUGGAGGUUUAAAGUCUAGUGUUUGGCCUCAAAUUGCUGAAAAAUUGGAGAAGUUGCUUGGAAAACGCUAUACUUCAAAACAACUGAAGAAUGGGUGGGAUUACAUGAAAAGACAAUAUCUCAUUUUGAGUAAAAUGAUGACUAUGAUAGGAUAUGGUUACAACUUUGUAACCAAAAAUUUUGAUUGGCCAGCUGAAAAAUGGGAAGAAUAUCUAUAGGUAGUUUUCUUAUGGAUUUGAGUGAAUUUUAAAAAUAAUUGUCUUAUAUAUGUAUGCAUAACUAAUUUGUUGUUUAUCUUGUAAAAUAGAAAUAUGCAGAAUCUAAACAAUUCUGUUUUAAACCAUUAGCAAUUGUGGAAGAAUUAGAGGCAUUGUUUGGAGGAGUGUUAGCUACUGGGUCUAAAAUUGGAGCUCUGGAGGAGUGAUAGCUUAUGGGGCUGAGGAAUCAUCAACACAUUCUACAUCUAUGCCUAGCGAAACUUCAAUUAGUUUAGAAGAAGAUGAGAAUUUGCCAAGAAAUACUAAUAAUGAAACAAAAGAUUCUAAGAAAAAACAGAAAAAAGGAAAGAAAGAGCAAACUCAAGAAGAAAUGAAAAGAAUAAUGAAUGUGUUGAAGAAUUUUGAAGGACCCUCAGUCAAAGAAUGCAUGAAGAUUUUGAAGAGGCUCUUGAGUUAUGAGGAUUUAUUAUACUAUGUAACAAUUAAUGUGUUUUGCAAGAAGAAAUAGUAUAGAGAGGUGUGGGUGGAGAUGGAAAGUGACAAAGAGCAAAUGGGAUGGAUUCAAAGCUUGCAAAAAUAAUUUUUUAAAUAUUUGUUUUAGAUUUGUGGAAUACAUAUGGUAUAUGGCUUAUAUGAUGAUUUUAAUUUGGUACAUUUGGUUUGUUUGUUUUGGAUAUUUGAUACAUUUAAACUUUUCCAAUUAUAAGACUUUAUCUCUACAUUUUAUGGAUAUUUGUUACUCAUGCAUUGUUAUAACUAUUUGAUUAUAUUGUUAUGCUUUUAUUUCAUAACUAUUGUUUUUUUAUAAUAGAUAUUCUUAUGGAGAAUCCUUCACAUCACUCAAAUAGUUCAAGUUCAUCAUCAUCAAGUGAAGAUGAAGAUAUAAAGUUAGAAGUGACAAGAGAUUAAAAAAAAAGAUUGGUUGUGUUGUUGCUCCAAUCAUUAAGUGACUCAUCCAUUAAUAAGGAACGAGUCUCUACAUCAUCAUUUAUAGGUUCACUUUUCAUUCAAGAGCUUUUAGAUGGUUCAUCUAGCACAUGUUAUGAACUAAUGCGGAUGGAAAACAUGGAUUUAUUUCUCUAUGUCACAUGUUUCGAGAAAAAUGGUGGCUUGUUGAUAUUAAACAUUUGAAUGUGAAAGAUACCUAGAUUGGGCAGAUGAGGUAAGGGGCACUACGGCCAUCCGGAUGACCUCCUAUCAACAUAGUGCAACUGCCUACUACAACUGAAGAGCCCGACCCUAAGCCUUCAAGGUUAGAACUCUAGUCCUCGGGAAAGUUUUGUAAAACACAACCGAGAAGGAGGCCGAAAAGCUCCAGGCAAAUUGGGAAGGGCCUUAUAUUGUCUCAAAGGCCGGAGAGUCAAGGGCUUACCACCUGAAAAAGUUGGACGGAACGCCCCUACUUCGACCAUGGAAUGUAUCUAACUUAAGGCAAUACUAUCAGUAAAGGAGAAAAAAAAUAAAGUACACAAGAGAAGAUAGUAAAAUGUAUUUUGGUAUUAAAAUAUGAAAUAGUUUUGUAUGUUGGCUGGAUAAAACACGAGGUAUUACAAAUCACUUAGUAAAAAUGAGAGAAAGUUUGUGUCAUUGCCCAUCCGAAGGAUUGGUCACGGGAAGAAUCCCGUCCUAAAUCAAGAAGAGCCAUCGGGUGCCUCACCCUCGUCAUCAGAAGGGAAAGAGAGGGUGUUGUGAGUAAUGUCAUUCUUCUUCAUACAACAACGGUAGCCAAGGAAGUACAUCUUGUCUACCUGCUUCUAGUACUCCACCUCCAACUCCUUCUUCUAGGUUGUGAACCUAGACCGAACUUCCUCUAUCUCCUUCUUCAAUCGAGCAUUCUCUCGUUCAGUGAUUACUACUCAAAAAGGGCUAUUUGAUAGCUUGUAAUUAACUCUUUUAAACACUUUUAAGUAGUAGUUAUUACCUUUUAACCCAAUUAACAUAUUAAGGACCUUUGCAAUCGUUUCUAAUCAAAUUGUGUAAGUUUUGGUGUUUUUGAUAGUAAUUUGAUCACCAAAGAAAUCCGAGAUUGAGGAGAGUUCUUUGGAAUCCAUGGCAAAGAAAUGGAAAGCUCAUAAACAUGAAGAACCAAAGCUUUGAAGCUUUAAAGUCCUUUUCCAUAAACAAAUCAUGAAUGCAAGGAUGAAAGCAAAGAGAAAAAUCUAACAUGAAGAAUCCAAGAGGACAUCAACUGUUUGACACUUUUGGAGCACUUCUUGAAGUCCAUUUGUUGCAUACUAUAUGUCAUUUCGAAUCUCGGGAAGUCAGAAAUCCAACGCUUCAAACCGUUCGCGAAUCGAAGUUGAAAUGAAGAAGUUAAAGCCAUUGGAAGACGAUCACAUCAAGCUGAAGGCCAAUUUCGCAAAGCUGCGAAAUCAACCUUUGGCUGCGAAAUGAUUUCGCAGCCAUCUUGUACGUCUGCGAAAUUUCACAGCCAUUUUGUGCACCUGCGAAAUUCUCCUAAGUGCUUCCAGAUAUUUGCGACCGACAUUUUUUGAUAUUUUGCUUCAGAUAUUUGAUGUCUAAAUCCCAAUUCUCUCCUUGUAAUCCACCAAUUAUAAGAUUCCUUAGUUGUUAAGCAAGAACAAAAGGGUGAAUAACCAUAUAUAUAUUGUUUUGUAAUUUUCAUUUUUAGAUAUAUCUCUCGGGAGCUUGUUCUCGGAGGAAUUUUAUAUAUAGUUUUGAAGGAAGUAAAAUUCAGAGCUUUGCUCUGCCUUACCUACUCACUUUGAUUGUAUUUUUCAUUUACCAGCCAAACAAGCUCUGAGGAUGUUUCUUCAGAGAAUGGGUGGCUAGGCUUUUUGUUUCUUGGAGCUAAGGUAGCCGGGGAAAGGGCCGAAUGCAAGAAUUGGUAGUUUUGUUGUUUCAGCUGUUAAUGAAGAGAAAGUGUAACCCGUUUAUGAUUUCUAUGUUUUUAGUUAACUUAAAACGCCUUCAAUUCACCUAAGCCAACACUUGGUAAGGCAAGUGAUCUCCGUCCAUGGAGAUGCACUAGUUUACCUCUUGCGAGCUUUUGGGAGGUGACCUGAAGGUAGGAUUUUCUAGAAUUGCCAACACUUGGUAAGCUUUUGGACUCUAAGGAGGCAUCCAUUAGUUAUCUCUUGCGAGCUUGAGAAGGGAAGUCCAAGGUUAAUGAUCACCUUGAAUGGCAAAUGCUAGGUGAGAGGCACGAGCCAUUGCAAGAUGCAUCAGUGAGAGGGAAUUAGUGCUGAAAUUCAUAAAAGGGAAGCAUCUAUACAACACCGGUUGGAGAAUGAACUAUAUGUUGAUUCUCCAAUGCGAGGAAAAGAACCAAAGUGACCGGAACUCUGUUUUUGCAUGAGGAGCCUGACCCCAGUGAUCCUAAAACUCCAAGAGACGCUUUUUCUUUAUAAAGUAAUUCCCAUUACUUUCUUUUUAGUUAGCUUGAAACCAAACCUUUUUCAACCAAAGUUUAUGUUUUCUUUUGAAGCUAACCUUGAAAUGAAAAGACACCAAUUCAACUUUGAAUUGGUAUCAGUUGUAAGUUGAAAACCCUUCCCAAUGAACGAUCCUAGAGCCACUAUGAUAUACUAGCUUAUGCUAUCCUAGUGCAUGGUGAUAUAGGUUAUAAAUUUUGUUGAUUACUCCCAUCAGGGGACCAAAAUCAAGGUACACCAGAUGGGAUAUUACGAAUCAUUCAGCCUCCUGACACUUAGCCUCCGUGGCCUCACUCUCUCUCUUCAUCCGCUCAGCCUUAGCCUGGGCUGCUUCCUUCUCCCCCUCCGCCAUCUUUAAAGCCUUGGCUCCAUCAGUAGCAACUUUCUGAGCGGCGACAAGGUCACUCUUCACUUGCUCCAAUUUAGCGUAGAGCUCUUCAAUACUGCUCAUACGGUGGGAGAUGAACGCCCUCAUGCUUUCAGCAACCUCCAGCCGCUUAAAAAGAAUAUCUCGUUGGCGUAUUAAGUUGUGAACUUCGGCCACCACUUGAAAGCAAUACAAAACAAAGGUAGACCGGAUACUGGAGUUUGCAUUACUGUGAAAGAAAGAAAGCACGAAAAAUUACCACUUUCGUGGUCUCUUUGGUCGUGCAAUCCAGAAGUGGCUGAAUGCAGGAGACUACAGACUCGGGAGUGCUGAGUGGAAGCUGAGCUGUAACAAAAACGGGAGGAUCACUGCCUAGGUUCGCUGAGAUCCACUUAGUAAGAGGAAAGAAGUUUGACAUUUUUGUCGGAGGUGGCUCGGCAUCAAUGAAGCAGGGCAUCCAUCCUUACAUCUCCUUCAUUUCCUCCCAACUAGAAAGGACAGUGCAAGAAGGUGUGCCAUUUUGAUCUGUGUCCUUCAUAGCAGGAACUGGGUCUUGUGCCCCGUCUUGAGCUGGAUAAGUCUCCUCUCUGACAGGGGAUAUGGCAGUCGAGACACUACUAGACCCCCCAGCAUUCGAAGGGAGAAUUGGCGUUGGAGGCACCUCCGUGACAGGCUCUUUAUGGACUUCAUCCGGAUGAGGCCUCUUGGCUGGAGGAACGACCACCUUAAUAGGUUUUGACAACCGCUUGCGCAUCCUGUCUUUGAAACCAGCUGUCAGAUCGGCCACCAUCUCUUCCUUCGCCUUUGAUUCGUAUAUGAUGUCGAGUACCACAAGCUCAGGUUCAGAACUCCAAGGGUUUGAGUCGCUCCUUGGAGGAUCCAAGUCACACCUCGAAGGGUCUAAGUCACCUCCAGAGUCCGGAUCAGAAUCGUUCAAAGGUGAAAGGAUAGAAGGAGUAGAAGCAGAAGGCGAUGCAAGCAUAGGGGGCAAUACCUCAACUACCUUAGCUGAAGGCAUCUUCUUCUUCUUGGCUGGAGGACAGGUUGUGGAGGAGAAAGACUGACCCUUCUCUCCCGGAACCUUUCUUAAUGUCCCUUCUUGCCUUUUCUCCUCUCUCUGUUCAAGGCUUUCUUGGCGAGCUUUAGCGUCUGCCUUACACGCUUCCUUGUAGAAGGGGAGGUCUUUCAAGACGUGAUUCUCCCCAAGCACCACAAUUUUAGGGAGCCACCUAGGAAUGAUUGGGAGCACGUACGGCUAAGGCUCCCGAAUGACCGCGAGAAGAUCCCGGGCCGAUAGAAGUGUUUGAUGGUUCUGUUCAAGUGAGGAGAUCACGAACAACUUAUUCAACCGGUCGAACGAGGCCUUCUCCACUCACUCCACUAGGCGGCCCCUUCUCUCUUGAUCUGUGCAGACCAAAAUGAAGAAUGUUAACAUUAGGACAACAUGAGUUCAAUAGAAAGAAGCAGAGGAAAGAGGCGCCCAAGCUUGUCUCUACCAGGAAUCUUCAACGAAAAAUUUGGAUGGAACUCCCUCUCCGGGUGCUCAACAAGGCUUACCCAAGGACCCCGGACCAGAACAUGCCCUUUUGCUCCACCCUUAGUUGAGUCCGGAAGACCAAUCACCAAUUGAAGGGAUGGAAUAUUAGCGAACAUGCUGAAGAUAUUGUUUUUUCCCUUCUUGAUAGUGUAGAUGAAGAGGACCUCUAACAGGGAGAGGUCCAAGUGGAAGAGCAUAUCCAAGAUGUUGCAUUCCAUCAACACUUAGAUAAUGUUGGGGUGGAUGAAGGCGGACAUAAUUUGGGUAAAGUGCAAUAAUUGCUUGAGAAGGGACGAAAGGGGGAAACGGAGCCCCACAUUAAACUGCUCCUUACUAAAGAAGAUACCCUCCUGGGCUACCUUCUCAGUGGACGUCGGGUCUCCAUCCAGUAGGUGAACGGAGAUGCCAUUCUGAAUGUAGAAGCGCUCGCAGAACUCCCGCUUGUUGAGCAGCUCGGUAGGCUUCUUCAAACCAGAGCGCCCGAAGCUCACGCUUGCCCGGACCACCUUCUUACCUUUACCAGCCGCGUUGGAUGAGGCAACAUCCUUUUUUGCUAGCAUGAUGGAGCAUUGGGCCGAGUUGGACCUACACGACACAAUGCCGGGAGUUAGAAAGGAACCAUUCGACCCUACCACCCAAAAGGCGGUGCCCCAGAACACGUGACGAAUUGUCCUACCAGACUCAGGGCACCCGACUCUGCCCAUCAGCAUACAAUCCCACUUAAGGACAUUUUGCUAUGGCACCAAACAACCAAUGUGAAGACUGAUACCAAACAAACUCUAUGGAAUCUCCAAAGGCAAAAAGAAUGGGCCCUAACCCUAAUAGGGGAACAACGAAGCACACCAUUAGCAAUACCUAUUGUCUCAAAAGGAGUACAAAUCCAUUGAUAAGGAUCUCGUAGUAGCCACUUAGCGACCAACCGAGACCCCCAGAGGCCAAAAUCCCUAAUCGCAACAAUCACAAGCAAAACAGAAAACAGAGGGCAGCGGAACAGAAAAGAGAAUGCACCUGGAAAAUGGUUUCAAUGAACGAUGAAGGCGACCUGCAAACAACGUGUAGACCCUCAAUUUUAUCCCUUUAGCACAUGUCUUUAAAUUCGUUUUCAGUGCCCCAUAGUAACUCCUUGGUGGCCCAUUACUACUUGUACGACUUACCUUUUUUUGAGUCACCUCGGAGAUUUUGGUUGAGGGAAUAUCUGACCCCUUAUUGUGACCCUUGGCAGCCCUAAUUUAGACUUAGACUUUUCAUUCAUUUUUAGGAUAGCUUUUAGAUACACUUGGCCCAUUAGGCACCACCCUAGGCCCACUUAGUCUCACCUUAGGCCUGUUUAGGUACACUGAGUCUAUUAAGAUUUUUUUUAGCGUGACUUACAUGACUUACAUAAUUUGCAUGAUUUGCAUUUUUAAUGCUUGCAUGUACUUGAUCUCUUAUUUAUUUAUUUACUUAUUUAUUUAUUAUUAUUUGGUUAGUUAUUUGUUUUUAUUUAUUUAUUUAUUUUAUAGAAUAUUGCAUGAGAUUGAUGAUUAAUUGUGUAAAUUGAUGUCUUAAUUAUUUUUGUGUAACUAUGAUAGACAUAAUGUUUUUAAUUGCAUAAUUUCAAAUUAGUUUUAAUUUUCAAUUUCAUGACCUUUACUAAUUUUAAUUCUCAUUUUAUUUUGGCAUGAGAUUCGAAUGCACACAUUGGAGAAGAUCCUUGAUGUACACGGCUGCAUAUAUGUGGGAAUAUUCUAUGCAACAUGGAAAGGAGAUUUAUAUCCUUAAAGAAAGGAAAGUAGAUCACGGCUAAAUGGAGGAUGGAAAGGAAAUUUAAAAUGUUAAAGAAAGGAAAGCAGAUCACUUAUGAAGGAUGGAAAGAAGAUUUUAUUUAUUUAUUUAUUUAUUCUAAAAAACGGGCUGCCAUCUAUUUGGAAGGAAGACACGGCCACAAGAAAAAGAAAGGAAAGUAGAUGCCCAUAGAAUAAUAUAUGGAAACUUCCAUACAAAAGGGAGAAUUGAAGAGAAAUAGAGGGAAUGAGGUUUUUCAAGAAGGGCAGAUUUGAUUCCAUGAGAAGAAAAGGUGGCAAUCGCAGGAUGGGCAGGGCAGAUAGACAUGGCGGACAUCUAAAAAAAGAGGGAGUUUUGAUUCAUUAAGGCUCACCAUCACACAACCAUAGAAGUGAGGAUGAUUAGGAUGAGAGCAGGAGACUUUUGGAGAGGAAAACGGGUGUAUAGUUUGAGGUAUGAGAAUGGGGUGAUCAUGUUUAUGGAGAGAGAAUCAAUGCAUGGUUCAAGGGAGAAGAAGGCAAAAGGGAAGAGAUAAGAGAACCAGGGGAGCACCUUGAGGAAUGGCUAUUGUAGAUAUCGUAUUCAUAUUUGUCAUCACCUCGUCCUUCGUUCAUUGCUAGCGGUUUCUGGUAUGUUAUUUAUUGCUUAUGCAUAAGUGUUAUUCGUUGCUUACGUACGGAUAUCAUAAGGCGUUUAGUGAUUGUUGAAUCUGGAGAUUUCAUCUGUGGUAAUCCUUAAUCUAUCCAUCUCAUUCAUUUGAGUAUUUAAGAUACACCCCUUUGUUCUCUGUUUUGUUUCUUUUUAUUUCUUGAGGCUCACUGAUAGAAACAUGAUUUGGAGUUUCGCAAAACCUACCGAAAUUAGGCUAUUCUUUUCUAUUGUCUUCAUGCACUUUCUUAUGUUUCUUCCUCAGUUGUUCUUGCUGAAUUUUCAUCUGUGAUUUAUGCCUUCCUUGUAUUUGUUUUUACCCUCAUCAUGCUUUCAAACGCCAUAAUGGAUAUACACGGUUUUCUACAUGCAAAUCAAGGACCCAUAACCAGUGCACAACUCGUCUUAGAAGAAUCUGGAAAGAGAAAAUCCAGAAAGACAAGCAUCUAUAGCUUCUUCUCAAUGACAACUGCAAAUCCAUUGAUUAGAUAUGG